GGCAGUGUGGUGUGAUGGCUUGAACAUUGGGCUAUGACUCUAAAGACCAGGGUUCGAAUCCCAGCCUGGCCA